rnacentral:pre_miRNA from 11 species
CUUUCUAUCCUUCCACGGCUUUCUUGAACUGCAUGUGUUUGAUCUAUCAGAUCUGUGUUUUUAUAUUUAAUCUUUGCGGUUCAAUAAAGCUGUGGGAAGAUAGAGACA